rnacentral:rRNA from 1 species
AACGAACGUUGGCGGCAUGGAUUAGGCAUGCAAGUCGCACGAAUCCCAUCUGGGUAACUGGGUGGGGAAAGUGGCGAAAGGGCAGUAAGGCGUGGGUAACUUGCCCCGGAGUUCGGAAUAGCCUUCCUAACGGAUGGGUAAUACCGAAUGCCGUAUCGAGGGGGCAUCCUCUUGAUACGAAAGUUACGGCGCUCCGGGAGGGGCCCACGUAGUAUUAGCUAGUUGGUGAGGUAACGGCUCACCAAGGCCAAGAUGCUUAGCAGGUGUGAGAGCACGACCUGCGCCACUGGCACUGGGACACUGGCCAGACUCCUACGGGAGGCUGCAGUCGAGGAUCUUCGGCAAUGGGCGCAAGCCUGACCGAGCGAUGCCGCGUGUGCGAUGAAGGCCUU